UGCUUUCUUUGUUCUAAAAUCAGUUGCUGAAUAGGAAAACUUAAUCUUACAGGAAGUUUAAAGCAUCUUUUCGCAUAACCACAAACUUAAGACUAGUGGUUUCAAAAAGCAUUUAAAAUCUGCCAAAAAAUGAUGAAGAUGAAAAUACAGCAGU